rnacentral:rRNA from 1 species
GACGAACGCUGGCGGCGUGCCUAAUACAUGCAAGUAGAACGCUGAAGGAGGAGCUUGCUUCUCUGGAUGAGUUGCGAACGGGUGAGUAACGCGUAGGUAACCUGCCUGGUAGCGGGGGAUAACUAUUGGAAACGAUAGCUAAUACCGCAUAAGAGUAGAUGUCGCAUGACAUUUGCUUAAAAGGUGCAAUUGCAUCACUACCAGAUGGACCUGCGUUGUAUUAGCUAGUUGGUGAGGUAACGGCUCACCAAGGCAACGAUACAUAGCCGACCUGAGAGGGGGAUCGGCCAGACUGGGACUGAGACACGGCCCAGACUCCUACGGGAGGCAGCAGGAGGGAAUCUUCGGCAAUAGACGGAAGUCUUACCGAGCAACGCCGCGGGAGUGAAGAAGGUUGUCGGAUCGGAAAGCUCUGUUGUAAGAGAAGAACGAGUGUGAGAGUGGAAAGUUCACACUGUGACGGUAUCUGACCAGAAAGGGACGGCUAACUACGUG